rnacentral:rRNA from 1 species
GAUGAACGCUGGCGGCGUGCCUAAUACAUGCAAGUAGAACGCUGAAGGAAGGAGCUUGCUCUUUCCGGAUGAGUUGCGAACGGGUGAGUAACGCGUAGGUAACCUGCCUGGUAGCGGGGGAUAACUAUUGGAAACGAUAGCUAAUACCGCAUAACAGUAGAUGUUGCAUGACAUCUGCUUGAAAGGUGCAAUUGCACCACUACCAGAUGGACCUGCGUUGUAUUAGCUAGUUGGUGAGGUAACGGCUCACCAAGGCGACGAUACAUAGCCGACCUGAGAGGGUGAUCGGCCACACUGGGACUGAGACACGGCCCAGACUCCUACGGGAGGCAGCAGUAGGGAAUCUUCGGCAAUGGACGGAAGUCUGACCGAGCAACGCCGCGUGAGUGAAGAAGGUUUUCGGAUCGUAAAGCUCUGUUGUAAGAGAAGAACGAGUGUGAGAGUGGAAAGUUCACA